rnacentral:rRNA from 1 species
UACGUAGGUGGCAAGCGUUGUCCGGAUUUACUGGGCGUAAAGGAUGCGUAGGCGGACAUUUAAGUCAGAUGUGAAAUACCCGAGCUUAACUUGGGUGCUGCAUUUGAAACUGGGUGUCUAGAGUGCAGGAGAGGUAAGUGGAAUUCCUAGUGUAGCGGUGAAAUGCGUAGAGAUUAGGAAGAACACCAGUGGCGAAGGCGAUUCUCUGGACUGUAACUGACGCUGAGGCUCGAAAGCGUGGGGAGCAAACAGG